rnacentral:rRNA from 1 species
GACAGAGGAUGCAAGCGUUAUCCGGAAUGAUUGGGCGUAAAGCGUCUGUAGGUGGCUUUUUAAGUCCGCCGUCAAAUCCCAGGGCUCAACCUCGGGCCUGCAGUGGGUACGGGCAGACUAGAGUGCGGUAGGGGAGAUUGGAAUUCCUGGUGUAGCGGUGGAAUGCGCAGAUAUCAGGAGGAACACCAAUGGCGAAGGCAGAUCUCUGGGCCGUAACUGACGCUGAGGAGCGAAAGCAUGGGGAGCGAACAGG